UCUGUAGUUAAUUUAUUUCUUUUAAAUUUAAAUUAACUAUUAAAGUUUAAUGGACGUUUUGAUCUCAAAUUCUUGUAUAAGAUUUAUCUUUUUUUGUUUACUCUUUGUGUGGUCAACAAUCAGAAUAAUGUAAACCAGUAUUGACUUUCAAAGCUAUCAAUUAUAUCAAGUGUUUAUUCAGUUUUCGAUGGAUAUAAAAUGAGUUUGAUUCUUUGCCCCCAGUGAUUAAUAUCAAAUUUAUCAAUUUUGAAUACGAUUUACCUGGCAAAAAUAUAGUAAUACAAUAACUGUAUUUUUUUAAGAAAUGCAACAGUAUAAAAUAUAUAUUUAUGUUGUUUAUGAAACAAGUGAUUUUGAACUCAAUUAAAACUCAAAAUCUGCCAAAACUAUUUUUAAUUAGUCAGCACUAUACUCUAUUCGGAAUGAGAUCGUACCUCGGCGACCAGCUUGUGCGUAUGUGCGUGGCUUUACUACACAGCAGGCCUACAGAUAGUUGACUUGGUAGGGUGGACAAACGGGUAUUGUCUGUCUGCCGCUCGACAAAAACCUGGUUACCGCUGAGGUACAAUCUCAUUCCGAAUAGAGUAUAGUUAAAUUUUUAAAGUAAAUGCUUUAGAUGGAAUUUUAAACAAACUUAAUUGCAGGUUUCAAUUUAUUUCACAGAAGUAUUCAUUACUAUAAAUCAAGUUCCAGACAAUAAUCUUUACCUCUGCACAGCCACAACAAAAGCAUUGACGGGGACAGAAAAAGGCUUUGUGAGGUGCACUUACAAAAAACCAUAGGCAGAAAAUCACGGUUUAUGUGAAAAAAAAACAUUAGAUACUUUAUAACUUUAAAUACUAUGAUAGUUUUUCCUUACUAAAACAAAUAACAAAAUUAGAUUAUUCAUUUCUAUACUUAUUUUAAUAUGUAAUUAUUUCUACUCUUCCCUAGUACUAUAGUACUAUAGUAGUAUUUUCACCAAUGUAUUUCAGAUAAAAUUUAUUCUAACUAAAAGAAGUAAGUUAAAAUUAGUUUAUAUCUCGAGGGUCUUAAUUAUUUCUAAAAGAGGGUUGUAAAAACUAGUAUUGACUAAUUAUUAAAAAUAGUUAUAACUGAUUAUAGGUUUUAAUUGCAACAUAAUAUAUACUUAAAACAUUUUAAUGUUUGAUUUUAUUUUAAAAUAUUAAUUUUUUAUUAUUAUUAUUUUUAUCAUUGAUAUUGUAUAAAACAAGGUA